AGUCAUAUGCUUGUCUCAAAGAUUAAGCCAUGCAUGUCUAAGUAUAAGUUCUUUACUGCGAAACUGUGAAUGGCUCAUUAUAACAGUUAUUAUUUCCUAGCCGGUCAGUGAUUCCUUGGAUACCCAUGGUAAUUCUAGAGCUAAUACAUGCUUACAAACCCGACUUCACGGAAGGGUUGCGCUUAUUAGAUACCGAACCAACCCAGGUCCUGCCUGGUUUUUGUUGAUUCAUAGUGUUCUGGCGAAUCGACUCGUAAGAGUCGAUGAGGCUAUCAAGUUUCUGACCUAUCAGCUUCCGACGGUAGGAUAUUGGCCUACCGUGGCUUUGACGGGUACGAGA
rnacentral:rRNA from 1 species